UACGUAGGGUGCGAGCGUUGUCCGGAAUUAUUGGGCCUAAAGGGCUCGUAGGCGGUUUGUCGCGUCGGGAGUGAAAACUCAGGGCUUAACCCUGAGCCUGCUCCCGAUACGGGCAGACUAGAGGUAUGCAGGGGAGAACGGAAUUCCUGGUGUAGCGGUGAAAUGCGCAGAUAUCAGGAGGAACACCGGUGGCGAAGGCGGUUCUCUGGGCAUUACCUGACGCUGAGGAGCGAAAGUGUGGGGAGCGAACAGG
rnacentral:rRNA from 1 species